AGUGAACGCUGGCGGUAGGCCUAACACAUGCAAGUCGAACGGCAGCACAGGAGAGCUUGCUCUCUGGGUGGCGAGUGGCGGACGGGUGAGGAAUACAUCGGAAUCUACUCUGUCGUGGGGGAUAACGUAGGGAAACUUACGCUAAUACCGCAUACGACCUAUGGGUGAAAGCAGGGGAUCUUCGGACCUUGCGCGAUUGAAUGAGCCGAUGUCGGAUUAGCUAGUUGGCGGGGUAAAGGCCCACCAAGGCGACGAUCCGUAGCUGGUCUGAGAGGAUGAUCAGCCACACUGGAACUGAGACACGGUCCAGACUCCUACGGGAGGCAGCAGUGGGGAAUAUUGGACGGUGGGCGCAAGCCUGAUCCAGCCAUACCGCGUGGGUGAAGAAGGCCUUCGGGUUGUAAAGCCCUUUUGUUGGGAAAGAAAUCCAGCUGGCUAAUACCCGGUUGGGAUGACGGUACCCAAAGAAUAAGCACCGGCUAACUUCGUGCCAGCCGCCGCCGUAA
rnacentral:rRNA from 1 species